rnacentral:rRNA from 1 species
AGCGAACGCUGGCGGCAGGCCUAACACAUGCAAGUCGAACGGAUCCUUCGGGAUUAGUGGCGGACGGGUGAGUAACACGUGGGAACGUGCCCUUUGGUUCGGAACAACUCAGGGAAACUUGAGCUAAUACCGGAUGUGCCCUUCGGGGGAAAGAUUUAUCGCCAUUGGAGCGGCCCGCGUCUGAUUAGCUAGUUGGUGAGGUAACGGCCCACCAAGGCGACGAUCAGUAGCUGGUCUGAGAGGAUGAUUAGCCACACUGGGACUGAGACACGGCCCAGACCCCUACGGGAGGCAGCAGUGGGGAAUCUUGCGCAAUGGGCGAAAGCCUGACGCAGCCAUGCCGCGUGAAUGAUGAAGGUCUUAGGAUUGUAAAAUUCUUUCAGCGGGGACGAUAAUGACGGUACCCGCAGAAGAAGCUCCGGCUAACUUCGUG